rnacentral:pre_miRNA from 1 species
UCGAUCACGAGAACGUCGCAUCUUAGUUACAUUUCCAUAUGAUGAGAUAUUCACGUCGUCGAAA